rnacentral:rRNA from 1 species
CCGGCUUAACACAUGCAAGUCGAGGGGCAGCAUUUCUGUUUGCUUGCAAACUGGAGAUGGCGACCGGCGCACGGGUGAGUAACACGUAUCCAACCUGCCGAUAACUCGGGGAUAGCCUUUCGAAAGAAAGAUUAAUACCCGAUGGUAUAAUCAGACCGCAUGGUCUUGUUAUUAAAGAAUUUCGGUUAUCGAUGGGGAUGCGUUCCAUUAGGCAGUUGGUGAGGUAACGGCUCACCAAACCUUCGAUGGAUAGGGGUUCUGAGAGGAAGGUCCCCCACAUUGGAACUGAGACACGGUCCAAACUCCUACGGGAGGCAGCAGUGAGGAAUAUUGGUCAAUGGGCGCAGGCCUGAACCAGCCAAGUAGCGUGAAGGAUGACUGCCCUAUGGGUUGUAAACUUCUUUUAUAUGGGAAUAAAGUUUUCCACGUGUGGAAUUUUGUAUGUACCAUAUGAAUAAGGAUCGGCUAACUCCGUGCCAGCAGCCGCGGUAAUACGGAGGAUCCGAGCGUUAUCCGGAUUUAUUGGGUUUAAAGGGAGCGUAGGUGGACAGUUAAGUCAGUUGUGAAAGUUUGCGGCUCAACCGUAAAAUUGCAGUUGAUACUGGCUGUCUUGAGUACAGUAGAGGUGGGCGGAAUUCGUGGUGUAGCGGUGAAAUGCUUAGAUAUCACGAAGAACUCCGAUUGCGAAGGCAGCUCACUGGACUGCAACUGACACUGAUGCUCGAAAGUGUGGGUAUCAAACAGGAUUAGAUACCCUGGUAGUCCACACAGUAAACGAUGAAUACUCGCUGUUUGCGAUAUACAGUAAGCGGCCAAGCGAAAGCAUUAAGUAUUCCACCUGGGGAGUACGCCGGCAACGGUGAAACUCAAAGGAAUUGACGGGGGCCCGCACAAGCGGAGGAACAUGUGGUUUAAUUCGAUGAUACGCGAGGAACCUUACCCGGGCUUAAAUUGCAUUUGAAUAUAUUGGAAACAGUAUAGCCGUAAGGCAAAUGUGAAGGUGCUGCAUGGUUGUCGUCAGCUCGUGCCGUGAGGUGUCGGCUUAAGUGCCAUAACGAGCGCAACCCUUAUCUUUAGUUACUAACAGGUCAUGCUGAGGACUCUAGAGAGACUGCCGUCGUAAGAUGUGAGGAAGGUGGGGAUGACGUCAAAUCAGCACGGCCCUUACGUCCGGGGCUACACACGUGUUACAAUGGGGGGUACAGAAGGCAGCUACCUGGUGACAGGAUGCUAAUCCCAAAAGCCUCUCUCAGUUCGGAUCGAAGUCUGCAACCCGACUUCGUGAAGCUGGAUUCGCUAGUAAUCGCGCAUCAGCCAUGGCGCGGUGAAUACGUUCCCGGGCCUUGUACACACCGCCCGUCAAGCCAUGAAAGCCGGGGGUACCUGAAGUACGUAACCGCAAGGAGCGUCCUAGGGUAAAACUGGUAAUUG